GGGUUGCCAAUGUGGUAUCUCA
rnacentral:siRNA from 1 species